CGAGAACAAUCUAGAAUGUGAAAAAUAUUAUUGAAGGUGUGUUGUGUCAGUCAAUACAAGAGAAUAAAAAUAAAAGGGGUUGGGCCGCUAGCCAGAAGGCCCAAUUAUAUACAUUAUCAUCCCCCCUCAAGCUGGGAGUAGAUGUUUGUCAUUCCCAACUUGGAAUGAAGAUACUUAAAAACUGUAGGGGAAGAGGUUUAGUGAAGAGGUCGACGGC
rnacentral:lncRNA from 1 species